GCCCUGGUAGAUCAAGGUAGAUAACCCUCAAAUUGUGUGCAGUCUUUAGCCAGAUUUUAGAGGAAGGUGGAGGUUCGAAUCCUCCCUAGGGCA